rnacentral:rRNA from 1 species
GCCAUGCAUGUCUCAGUACAUGCCAAAUUAAGGUGAAACCGCGAAUGGCUCAUUAAAUCAGUUAUAAUUUAUUAGAUCGUACUCACAUUUACUUGGAUAACUGUGGUAAUUCUAGAGCUAAUACAUGCAAACUAGAGUUCCAACCAGAGAUGGAAGGAACGUUUUUAUUAGAUCAAAACCAAUCGGUGGCAAAUUUAUUUGUCCAUCGUUAAUUUUGAUGACUCUGAAUAACUUUGUACUGAUCGCAUGGUCUUUGUACCGGCGACUUAUCUUUCAAAUGUCUGCCUUAUCAACUGUCGAUGGUAGGUUCUAUGCCUACCAUGGUUGUAACGGGUAACGGGGAAUCAGGGUUCGAUUCCGGAGAGGGAGCCUGAGAAACGGCUACCACAUCCAAGGAAGGCAGCAGGCGCGCAAAUUACCCACUCCCGGCACGGGGAGGUAGUGACGAAAAAUAACGAUACGGGACUCAUCCGAGGCCCCGUAAUCGGAAUGAGUACACUUUAAAGCCUUUAACGAGGAUCAAUUGGAGGGCAAGUCUGGUGCCAGCAGCCGCGGUAAUUCCAGCUCCAAUAGCGUAUAUUAAAGUUGUUGCGGUUAAAAAGCUCGUAGUUGAAUUUGUGUCACAUCCUGUUGGUUCACCACUCGUGGUGUUUAACUGACAUGUUGAUGGGACGUCCUACCGGUGGAUUUAGCUUUUUUUAUAUUUUCUUUUUAUUUGUUAUUUUCUUUCGAGUUAAUUUCAAUUUAAAGUAAAAUAUAUUUAAAGCGAUCCAACUAAUAUCCCGUCGCGGUGCUCUUUACUGAGUGUCGAGGUGGGCCGGUACGUUUACUUUGAACAAAUUAGAGUGCUUAAAGCAGGCUUUUUUUGCCUGAAUACUGUGUGCAUGGAAUAAUAGAAUAGGACCUCGGUUCUAUUUUGUUGGUUUUCGGAACCCCGAGGUAAUGAUUAAUAGGGACAGAUG